rnacentral:rRNA from 1 species
AUUGAACGCUGGCGGCAUGCCUUACACAUGCAAGUCGAACGGUAACAGGACGCAAGGUGCUGACGAGUGGCGAACGGGUGAGUAAUGCAUCGGAACGUGCCGAGCCGUGGGGGAUAACGCAGCGCAAUGCGCGCUAACGCCGCAGACGAUCAAUGGAUGAAAGCGGGGGACUGUAAGGCCGCGGGCGCUUGGAGCGGCCGAUGUCAGAUUAGGUAGUUGGUGGGGUAAAGGCUCACCAAGCCAACGAUCUGUAGCUGGUCUGAGAGGACGACCAGCCACACUGGGACUGAGACACGGCCCAGGCUCCUACGGGAGGCAGCAGUGGGGAAUUUUGGACAAUGGGCGCAAGCCUGAUCCAGCAAUGCCGCGUACAGGAAGAAGGCCUUCGGGUUGUAAACUGCUUUUGUACGGAACGAAACGGCUCUGGUUAAUACCUGGGGCUAAUGACGGUACCGUAAGAAUAAGCACCGGCUAACUACGUGCCAGCCGCCGCCGUAACAC